GGUGCCUUAGACCAUCUGAAAACAGAUGUUUGCAUUAUGAUUUAUGACAGCAAAAUUACAGUUAUGAGGUAGCAAUGAAAAUAAUUUUGUAAUUGGGGGUCACUACAACAUAAGGAACUGUAUUAAAGGGGUUCAGCAUGCUCUUCCCCCUUCUGCUGCCUCAAGAAGAACCAAGAAGAAAGAAACACCUCUGCCAGGGCUGGCUCCAGGCAGAGGACUUAUCCACUGUGAUGGUUUGAAUAAGAAUGGGCCUCAUAGGCUCAUGGGUUUGAAUGCUUGUCCCAUAGGGAGUGGUGCUAUUAGGAGGUGUGGUGUUAUUGGAGCAUGUGUGGCCAUGUUGGACGGAAGUGCGUCACUAUGAAAGUGGGCUUUGAGGUCUUAAUUUAUGUUCAGGCUUCACCCAGUGUGGACACUGUCUCCUGCUGCUGCUUACAGAUCAAGAUCUAGAACUCUCAGCAACUUCUCUAGCCCCAUGUCUGCCUGGAUGCUGCCAUGCUUCCCACCAUGAUAAUAAUGAACUAAACCUCUGAAACUGCAAGCUUCCUCUGAUUUGGGACAAAACGAAAACAGGCUGGUCUUCCCUUGUACCUGACAUAGGCAAAUUGAGCUGGCCCAGACAGCAGAGUUCUGUAAAGCAUGUUGAUAUUGAUUGCUUCUUUGUCUCAGGGGCUAUAAGAAAUAUAACAGAUCUCAAAGGAAAAACAGUGGCUCUGUCAGCAACCAUGGCACAGGAAGGUCACCUUUUCAUCCUGGCGCUAACAUCCAGCUGGAGUGGCAGUAUUACCAAAAUAAAAUCCUGAAAGGAGAAGCAGCUGUGACACACCUGUGGAGAUGAUGAGGCGGCAGAAGCAGGGCAGUAAUCCUCUCACAGAGCAUGGAAAUCCUCUAACCCUGGGUCACAGGGACUGCCUCUGAACCAGGAAACACUGGGACCCAGGGUCCUCCCUCAGGAGACUGUGUGUGCCUUCCUCGGACCCUCA